GCCUGCACUCUGGGACAAGCCCUGGAAACGGGGUCUAAUACCGGAUACUGAUCCGCUUGGCAUCCAAGGUUCGAAAGCUCCGCGGGCAGGAUGAGCCCGCGCCUAUCAGCUUGUUGGUGAGGUAAUGGCUCACCAAGGCGACGACGGGUAGCCGGCCUGAGAAUCGACCGGCCACACUGGGACUGAGACACGGCCCAGACUCCUACGGGAGGCAGCAGUGGGGAAUAUUGCACAAUGGGCGAAAGUGAUGCAGCGACCCGCGUGAGGGAUGACGGCCUUCGGGUUGUAAACCUCUUUCAGCAGGGAAGAAGCGAAAGUGACGGUACCUGCAGAAGAAGCGCCGGCUAACUACGUGCCAGCAGCCGCGGUAAUACGUAGGGCGCGAGGUUGUCCGGAAUUAUUGGGCGUAAAGAGCUCGUAGGCGGCUUGUCACGUCGGUUGUGAAAGCCCGGGCUUAACCCCGUCUGCAGUCGAUACGGGCAGGCUAGAGUUCGGUAGGGGAGAUCGGAAUUCCUGGUGUAGCGGUGAAAUGCGCAGAUAUCAGGAGGAACACCGGUGGCGAAGGGGAUCUCUGGGCCGAUACUGACGC
rnacentral:rRNA from 1 species